CUUAAAACUAGGUUUAACUCCUCUUAAAAAUUAAACACAUGUACCCCAAUACUCAGUUUAACCCCACUCUGAUCCAAACCUAAUAAUUCUAAACACACAUUAUACCACAACUGUAACCACUAUCAAACUUUUAAUCCUCUUAACACUAAACACCUUAUGUAAUUUAACUCUAAUAUCAACCCCUCACUGACCUUAACCCUUUACCCUAACCACUUCUAACAUUAUUUUAACAAAAAAAAAUGUUAGAAGAUAAAAGAGAAGUGAUUCCAAAUGAAAAGACCAAGAGGGGAGAAAAGACAUAAUACACUCCCUCUAGUACAAGACCAUGGAAGUAAAAAAAUCUGGAUGCACAGAUU